rnacentral:rRNA from 1 species
GGUUAAGCGAAUAAGCGUACACGGUGGAUGCCUAGGCAAUCAGAGGCGAUGAAGGACGUGCUAAUCUGCGAAAAGCGUCGGUAAGGUGAUAUGAACCGUUAUACCCGACGAUAUCCGAAUGGGGAAACCCAGUAUCCAAUGGAUACUAUCAUUAACUGAAUCCAUAGGUUAAUGAGGCGAACCGGGAGAACUGAAACAUCUCAGUACCCCGAGGAAAAGAAAUCAACCGAGAUUCCCCUAGUAGCGGCGAGCGAACGGGGAGCAGCCCAGAGUCUUAAUCAAUAGCAGUGUCAGGAGAACGGUCUGGAAAGUCCGGCAGUAAAGGGUGAUAGCCCCGUAUCUGAAGAUGCUGUU